UUUGUAUUAUGCAAGUAGUUGAAGAGUGUUCUGGCAGUUAAGUAGCUCAUCAGGGGGUCAGAGACACACAUACUAUGAUGUUAAUUUUUAGGCGAGACCUGAUUAACUCGUUAUCCAUGUUCUUGUUUUUGUUGUAAGGUCUACAUUCUGGAUUUCGAAGAAAGACAGCGGGGGGAUCAAAGUUUAAUAAUUCCCUUACAACGACAGAAUCACAAAUGCAGGAGCCGAUUACUGAAGCUGAGACCGGUUUCAUUGUUCCUGUUCACUUAGAGGCGGAAGAUACGUCAUUGCUAGUAAUUAUAGUUAUCAUAACAGUGUUUGGAGUUCUGGCCAACCUGACAACAACUGGGAUCGUUAUUCAUUUUAGACAAUUUCAUAAACCUACCUACAUGGUCAUAGGAACCUUAGCAUUUGCGGAUUUUGCGUCUCUGAUCCAAUAUCUAUGUCACCUGAUUCUUGCAUCGAUCAACAGAUAUCGUGUCGAUAAUUAUGGAUAUAUUUUUAUGACGGUCAUCUACACAACAGCGCAUGCGUCAGCAUCACACGUAGUGCUAUUGUUUGGAUUGAGGUAUUAUUUGAUAGCUAUGCCUCAUCGAUCAAAAAUGAUCAGCAAACGUCAUGUACUGACGUCAUCAAUUUUAAUGUGGAUUUUCAGCGUGAUGUUUGGAGUUAUUUAUUAUGUUGCGAGAUUUCACGUGGCAAGAAGCAAGAUAGCCGUUGUAGUACUGGUAUUCAAGAGUUAUCUUCUUUUUGUUCCAUGUAUCUUUAUACUUCUUUUUCAUGUGACAAAAAUUUACAAAUUAAGGACGUCUAUUAGUAGAUGCAGAAUGAGUCAGUACGUUCGAAGGAUGUGUACGAUGAUUUUUAUCAUUAUGGUCAUUUACAUUUUUUCUGCUAUCAUAUUCCCCAUUACAUUUUCUCUAAACUUUUUCAAAGUGCUCAGCGAACGUGAAAGCAAAGCGAUUCAGAUUUUUGCACGAUUUAUUUGGCUUUUUAACUUUUCAGUCAACCCCAUCAUUUAUUUUAUUUACAAUCCAAAGGUCAGACAUCAUGUUUCUUUACGUUGGCAGUCGAUCUCAAUUUUACGUAAUUGAAGUCGACAUUCAACCAUCAAGAUAAUACUGAAAUGACGAUUUCUUGAAAUUUUCGAGCGCUAGCUACUAUCUUUUUAGUUGACAUGAAUAACUUGAAAACUACAGACAGUUUUGCUAGCAAACUUUUAUUUCAAAUCUUAUCUAUUGACAUCGAAUAAAAAUAAAACACAUGGUUCAUAUAAUGAAGAGAAAUGAAGCAAAAUUAAGAAUUUCUUAUAUGUUUUUUGAAAAUAUCUUAUUCCUACUUAUUGUGAUAAUUGAUAUAUAAAACAAUAUUUUUUUAAUAAACUUUUCUUAUAUGAUCUACAAGUUCUUUUUUUUAUGAACUCAACUAAAGGUAAAAAUAAAACGAUACUCAGGUUUGAGAUCGUUUGACCUGUUUUUUUAUUAAAGUUUUUAAGACAACUGAUUUAAAAAAAAUUUCUACAAGUACUACAUAUGACUAAUUUUAAUAAAAUUGACAACACAUCUCUGACGUACAAAUAACGUAAGUCCUUUUGAAAUGGUUGUCAGUCUUUCUCGAUAUAGAGGGGUACUUAAUCAUUGAUAAUUUUUACAAUGUUCUAUUUGUUACAUGUUGUAAUUACAUGUAUAUUAAAAGUUGUUAACGAUUAACCCUUUUUGUCAUACACCAAUAUCUUAGUAGGCCCAAUGUAACAAAAUACUGUUUUAAAAGUAACGUUUAUUGAAUAUUUUCAUGCCACAUCAAAUGUGGGUAAGUUUGAGUUUGUACUAUAUAUUCUGCUUUUCUCCAGCUUCUGAAGUAUGUGGGGUCCUUGAAAAAAAAUACAUUACCUUUUGAGGGAGGCGUAAGAGAAACCCAAUAUGCAUUUUUUCAAGGACCUCACAUAUUUUCCGUAUUACCCCUCUAAACCUCGUCUCAGAAAUUUUCAUACGUAGACCAUGCUCUCAUGCUCUUGCGUAUCUAAUCAAGUGGGAUACAAUAACUCCGCAUGCAGGAUAUGAAGGUAUAUUGCUACAUAAGUGAGGGGAAAUGAUGAUAGAAAAGUUAAAGUCAUCAUAUGAAAUGAGCAACAACUGCAAGAUUUUCAGAGAAAACGUAUUUUGUAAUUUAUACAUAUACAUUUUUUUUUGUAGUCUUUAAAUAGAAUAUGCAUAUCUGAGGUCCAGCAACAAACCAUCAUAUGAAAAUCUGUGAAAUCUUUAAAUAUUCUGGGAAAAGAGUGGGGGUGGGGGUUACAGUGUGUAGUUUUAAAAUGAAUCUGUUGUCUUUACUUCAUUUAUUUUAAC